GAUGAAGAACGCAGCAAAAUGCGAUACUUGGUGUAAAUUGCAGAAUCCCGUGAACCAUCGAGUUUUUGAACGCAAGUUGCGCCCGAAGCCUUUUGGCCGAGGGCACGUCUGCCUGGGCGUCACGCAUCGCGUCGCCCCCCACAAUUCUCCGUAAAGGGAACGUGUGUUUUGGGGGCGGAUAUUGGUCUCCCGUGCUCAUGGCGUGGUUGGCCGAAAUAGGAGUCCUUUCGAUGGACGCACGAACUAGUGGUGGUCGUAAAAACCCUCGUCUUUUGUUUCGUGCUGUUGCUCGCAAGGUAAACUCUUUAAAAACCCCAAUGUGUCGUCUCUUGACGACGCUUCGACCGCGACCCCAGGUCAGGCGGGACUACCCGCUGAGUUUAAGCAUAUCAAUAAGCGGAGGA
rnacentral:misc_RNA from 1 species